rnacentral:rRNA from 1 species
AAAGACUCUCGGCAACGGAUAUCUCGGCUCUUGCAUCGAUGAAGAACGUAGCGAAAUGCGAUACUUGGUGUGAAUUGCAGAAUCCCGUGAACCAUCGAGUCUUUGAACGCAAGUUGCGCCCGAAGCCAUUAGGCUGAGGGCACGCCUGCCUGGGUGUCGCCC